rnacentral:rRNA from 1 species
UAGGGAAUCUUCCGCAAUGGGCGAAAGCCUGACGGAGCAACGCCGCGUGAGUGAUGAAGGUCUUCGGAUCGUAAAACUCUGUUAUUAGGGAAGAACAAAUGUGUAAGUAACUAUGCACGUCUUGACGGUACCUAAUCAGAAAGCCACGGCUAACUACGUGCCAGCAGCCGCGGUAAUACGUAGGUGGCAAGCGUUAUCCGGAAUUGUUGGGCGUAAAGCGCGCGUAGGCGGUUUUUUAAGUCGGAUGUGAAAGCCCACGGCUCAACCGUGGAGGGUCAUUGGAAACUGGAAAACUUGAGUGCAGAAGAGGAAAGUGGAAUUCCAUGUGUAGCGGUGAAAUGCGCAGAGAUAUGGAGGAACACCAGUGGCGAAGGCGACUUUCUGGUCUGUAACUGACGCUGAUGUGCGAAAGCGUGGGGAUCAAACAGG